AGAGUUUGAUCCUGGCUCAGGACGAACGCUGGCGGCGCGCCUAACACAUGCAAGUCGAACGAGCGAGAGAGAGCUUGCUUUCUCGAGCGAGUGGCGAACGGGUGAGUAACGCGUGAGGAACCUGCCUCAAAGAGGGGGACAACAGUUGGAAACGACUGCUAAUACCGCAUAAGCCCACGGUGCCGCAUGGCACAGAGGGAAAAGGAGCAAUCCGCUUUGAGAUGGCCUCGCGUCCGAUUAGCUAGUUGGUGAGGUAACGGCCCACCAAGGCGACGAUCGGUAGCCGGACUGAGAGGUUGAACGGCCACAUUGGGACUGAGACACGGCCCAGACUCCUACGGGAGGCAGCAGUGGGGAAUAUUGCACAAUGGGGGAAACCCUGAUGCAGCGACGCCGCGUGGAGGAAGAAGGUCUUCGGAUUGUAAACUCCUGUUGUUGAGGAAGAUAAUGACGGUACUCAACAAGGAAGUGACGGCUAACUACGUGCCAGCAGCCGCGGUAAAACGUAGGUCACAAGCGUUGUCCGGAAUUACUGGGUGUAAAGGGAGCGCAGGCGGGAAGACAAGUUGGAAGUGAAAUCCAUGGGCUCAACCCAUGAACUGCUUUCAAAACUGUUUUUCUUGAGUAGUGCAGAGGUAGGCGGAAUUCCCGGUGUAGCGGUGGAAUGCGUAGAUAUCGGGAGGAACACCAGUGGCGAAGGCGGCCUACUGGGCACCAACUGACGCUGAGGCUCGAAAGUGUGGGUAGCAAACAGGAUUAGAUACCCUGGUAGUCCACACUGUAAACGAUGAUUACUAGGUGUUGGAGGAUUGACCCCUUCAGUGCCGCAGUUAACACAAUAAGUAAUCCACCUGGGGAGUACGACCGCAAGGUUGAAACUCAAAGGAAUUGACGGGGGCCCGCACAAGCAGUGGAGUAUGUGGUUUAAUUCGACGCAACGCGAAGAACCUUACCAAGUCUUGACAUCCUGCGACGGCGCUGGAAACAGUGCUUUCCUUCGGGACGCAGAGACAGGUGGUGCAUGGUUGUCGUCAGCUCGUGUCGUGAGAUGUUGGGUUAAGUCCCGCAACGAGCGCAACCC
rnacentral:rRNA from 1 species